UACGUAGGGGGCGAGCGUUGUCCGGAUUCAUUGGGCGUAAAGCGCGCGUAGGCGGCUUCGUAAGUCGGCCGUGAAAUCUCCAGGCUUAACCUGGAGGGGUCGGGCGAGACUGCGGGGCUCGAGGUGGGCAGAGGGCAGUGGAAUUCCGGAUGUAGUGGUGGAAUGCGUAGAGAUCCGGAGGAACACCAGUGGCGAAGGCGGCUGCCUGGGCCUGGCCUGACGCUGAGGCGCGAAAGCGUGGGGAGCGAUCCGG
rnacentral:rRNA from 1 species